UUGUAUCAUCUUCUUCAAGUUACCAGCAGAACCUUACCUCUCUCCAUAGCUGGGGUUUCUUCAACUUUCAAGCUUCAUAAUCAAGAAGAGCGAAAUUCGAGAGUAGAUCGAGGAAAAGAAAAAGUAAAGGACUAAAUUGUAAAGUUUAGUCACAUUUUGUAUCGAGUACUUAUCUAGCCACUCGGGAUCGAAGGAA